UUUGUACUCCCUCCGUCCGGAAAUACUUGUCGGAGAAAUGGAUAAAAAGGAUGUAUCUAGAACUAAAAUACGCCUAGAUACAUCCAUUUCUCCGACAAGUAUUUCCGGACGGAGGGAGUAGUAU
rnacentral:pre_miRNA from 1 species